rnacentral:rRNA from 1 species
UCCGUAGGUGGAUGAUUAAGUCAGAGGUGAAAUCCUGCAGCUCAACUGUAGAAUUGCCUUUGAAACUGGUCAUCUUGAGUUAUUAUGAAGUAGUUAGAAUAUGUAGUGUAGCGGUGAAAUGCAUAGAUAUUACAUAGAAUACCAAUUGCGAAGGCAGAUUACUAAUAAUAUACUGACACUGAUGGACGAAAGCGUGGGGAGCGAACAGGAUUAGAUACCCUGGUAGUCC